rnacentral:rRNA from 1 species
GCUAGUAAUGGCAGGUCAGCAUACUGCCGUGAAUACGUUCCCGGGCCUUGUACACACCGCCCGUCACACCAUGAGAGUUAGGAAUACCCGAAGCCUGUGAGCUAACUUUAAUAGAGGCAGCAGUCGAAGGUAGAACUAAUGAUUGGGGUGAAGUCGUAACAAGGUAAC